ACCAAGAAGAUGAGCUCUUCCAUUAUUACACACAGACCAUAAUAAUAUAGCAAUAGUUUCUUGUCAUACCCUUUUCUCUCUUUUUUCUUUGCAAGAAAGAAGAAGGGGGUUAUGAUAAUACAGCUAAUAGGAGUAUAUUAAAAAUAAAAGAGGUGGGUUAAUUUUAUGAGCUGAUGCUGAAAUUGUGUACCUCAAAUAAUAACAUGGAUCUUGGGAAUUCUUGGAAUAGUAGUAGCAGUGUCAGCUCCCAUACUUGUUUAAGUAUAGAUUUCAGUUACUUCCAUUCAGCUGCCUUGUUUUUGUCUUUUGGGAGCUCAAUUGCAGUACCUAAAAUGGCCUUAAAUAAUUCCUCUUCCAGUAAACCUUGUUAUGCUGAUGAUUUAAUUCUCAAGUCUUCUUCUUUUUCUUAUUCUUGAAGUAGAAAACUCAAAUUUGAUCACCACUCCGCUCCCUCUUCAAACUGUUUUGUUUUGUUUUCUUUUAUUUGUUUGUUUCUUAGUUUUCUUGAUUGUUGUCAUCAGCUUUUUUUGUCUCUUACAAAGACCUUUUGGGACUCUAUAAAUCCUAGAGAAAUGCUGUGUGUAUCACUGCCAGGGUUAGACGGUGGUGCUGUGAAAGCAUCUUCACCAGCUAUGGCUUCUUUGGAUAUUUACAGCAGGUGUGGUUUUGAUGGUGGUAUUGGAUGUUGGACUGGGAAUGGGAAAGGAAAGUGGAACAAAUUGGCUGCUGCUACUGCAAAGGCACCAAAGAAGAGGAGGUUCAACAUUUCUCCUAUGGCUUCCUCUGCUCUAGCUGAAACCCGAUGUACUUCUAGAGCCAAAUUUUAUCAGGAGGUUCUUAAUGAUGCCAGGGAAAAUUUUACCCAGGAGAUAUCUUUCCAAUCCAAGGACAGAGAUAUUUCUCUGGCAAAGGCUUUGCUUUAUGUGGCCUCUGAAGACGAGGCAUUUAUGGCUUUCAACCGGGAGAUGGAUGCAUAUUCUCUCCAAAGUGAGAGGAGAUCUGCUUCAUUGCCUUCUGAUGGCACAGAAUGGACAUGCGUGGAGGCCAUGCCUCUUGCUGGAAAGAAUAUGAAUGAGUGGAUGGUUGAGUUGGAUGUCAUUGCUAGAGAAGUGGAGGCAGAGCUAGUUUCGAGAGAAAUAGGAUGCGAUUUGGCUGAAGUUUUGGAUGCAGUGAACAUGGUUCUUUUUAGGUCAAGGGGAUUCAAAAGGUCAUCUGUACUUGUGGAUUCAAAGUGCGCGUACCUGCAUUCAGUGUUAAGCUCUGGAUAUUGUAGUGCAAUUUUGCUUAGCGUCAUUUAUAUUGAAGUCUGUCGAAGACUUAAUCUGACCAUUGUGGGAUCCCGAGUUGGGGAAGAUUUUUUAAUAUGGCCCCAAACUGGAAACCCUGAGGAGCUAUUCAAGGUUAUUUCUGGUCACAGCUUGUUUGGUAUUGUUAAUGGCAAGUGUGUCGACGACCCUAGAUCAAGGGCUUCUGACAUCAAUAGUAAUUCGUUGCCGGGGCUUGAGUUAGCAACAAACCGAGAUAUUAUCGGAAUAGCUUUGGCUAAUUUGAUGAGGCUUCACUGGAAACGUGCUUCAAGAGCAAAUCAUGGUUUGAUGCUGACUUCUCCCCUUAGAUCUGUUGAUCAUGCAGAUGAUAAGUCUAAUUGUCUGAAUGUCCCAUUGUUGCGGCCUCAAGAUUUGAGGUUCAAGAUGCUAAAUUGCAACCUUGGCAUGAGAAAGGGAGAAAUGAGAAUUUUGGACGCAUAUUUUUAUUCUUAUUUGAUUCUAACAUUCUACUAAGAUUCUAACAUUCCACUAAAAUAACCAUUUAACCCAUUGUGCUGAAAUAUGAUCGGUGCUUAUUCCUCCAAUUAAGUUUAUAAGAAAACAUAAUGGGGUUCCUGAUCCCUCACUGCUAUAGCUCUAUUUUGGUUAUAUAAGUCCUUUCUAUAUACUAUAUACUGAUCAAAUUGAAGAGAUACAUAUCUAUGCUCAUGCGCAUACAUUUAUGAUAUUUGAUAGUUGAGGCCAACUGUAUGGAGUUUUUUCUUUUCACUGAAUCCACUGAUUCUUCUUACAAAAUCAAGUUAUUCAUCUAACCAAAUGCCACUGUUUUUAAACAGGCAUACUUGGAAAAGGAAGAGGUACCGGGGGGGGGGGGGGUUUGGGGGCACAGAAGUAGCAAUAAUUAUGAGAGAUCACUUGCUUGAUACCGUGUUACAUGUGUCUAGCAGCAUUCUUCUGGUCUUUUACAUCAUAAAAUAUAUCAUCCAUUAUAACUGAAAUAUGUGAAGGUCUUCUGCAUCUAUAUUCUCUUUUAGGGGAGCAUCUCUGCUUCUGUUUCUGAUACCAUUAAGAACUCAUUAUAUUCCUGUUGUUUUCUUCCGUUAUACAUUCUACUAAGGUGGUUAUAAUUGGUACCUGUUAUUUCUUGGUUAAAAACAUGUAUGUAUAUCAAGUAACAAGUAAGUAAGAAUUGACGUAUUUACUGGACUGCAGUAUACUGUGCACCACACACGUUGGACAGGAAGAGUUUUUAACUAAUCAAACACUAGUUGGCAUUUGAUGAUGAUCUGUUAAGCAUUAAGUUUUUUCUGACAUGCAAAACCAUGCUAGUAGGAUUAAUGAUGAAUCAUUUUCUACUUUACUGUUCUCAAAGAGCCAAGAUAUUUAUUUGCACAUAAAUAAGAGCUGUGUUUAAAUUAAAGGUUUUCAGGUUGUCAUGCACAGAUGUCUGACCUUUCCCUAAGGGAUUAAAUUUGUGUGUAAUAUCUGUUCACUUAUAAUGACAUUAUGUCUCUCUGGAAUGGUACAAUACUUUCUAGGCUGGCCAUUAUGGCUUCAGAAAGAUUGCUCAUUCUGCAGCCACACAAUUGGGCUCUGAGGAGAGACCAUGGCAUGAUGUUGUAUUAUAGUAGGGAAUAUGAAGAGGCAGUUCAGGAGCUUAGCAUUUGCAUGGCCUUUGCCCCAGAAGAAGAGGCACAAGUUCUGGAACCUUUUGUUGAGAAAUUACACUUGUUGCGGGUUGAAUCAUCUUGGAAGUCUCGGGGAAAGAAAGGCCAUUUAACAGUUUCUUGAAUUGUUUGUAGAAAAGCUGUAGCUGUUUCUGCUUUAAGUUUGUAUCAAGAGCACAGCCAGUACUACUUUAGCUGUAAUCUCUUUUUUUGAAUUCUGUAAAUAUAUUCCUUAGACAAGCUAAAGUUGCUUCCUUUCUAGUUUUCUAUAAUGAGAUGAAUAACAGAACUAGAACAGCUUCAGGCUGUGAUCUAAAA